CACCUCUUGACAUAAUAUAAGAGGCCCAGCCUGCCCGGUGACAAAGUUUAACGGCUACGGUACCCUGACCGUACGAAGGUAGCAUAAUCACUUGUUCCUUAAAUAGGGACCUGUAUCAACGGCAUCACGAGGGCUGCACUGUCUCCUCUCUUCAAUCAGUGAAACUGAUCCCCCCGUGAAGAAGCGGGGAUUAAGCCAUAAGACGAGAAGACCCCAUGGAGCUUUAAACAAGUACUCACACUAUACUUACACGUCCCUUAACUAAAAGCCCUGAGUACAAGUUUUAGGUUGGGGAGACCGCGGAGAACAAUUAAACCUCCACGACAAACGGCCCUUAAGUCCUUAUCCACGAGCCACAGCUCUAAGAAUCAAUAAACUGAUGAUUAUGACCCGAUACUAUUCGAUUAAUGAACCAAGUUACCCUGGGGAUAACAGCGCAAUCUACUUCAAGAGUCCAUAUCGACAAGUAGGUUUACGACCUCGAUGUUGGAUCAGGGUAUCCUUGUGGUGCAGCAGCUACUAACGGUUCGUUUGUUCAACGAUUAAAACCCU
rnacentral:rRNA from 1 species